AGAGAGAGAGAGAGAGAGAGAGAGAGAGAGAGAGAGAGAGAGAAGAGCAUUCCUUUGGCAUUCUUGUUGCUAUUGAAAUUUGGUUGAAAUGGAGAGAAUCUGUAUUCCAAACAAAGUAUUGUCAUAUUUUUUUGUGACUCUAGUUGUCUCUCCAAAUUUGUUUUGUCUUGUCUACACCCUUAUCUGAAACAUUAACCAGUUCAUCUUCAUAGGAGCCAUGUGAAGCCAGAUCAUGUCAUGGUGCACACUACCCUAGGGCAUCUGAGAGCUUAAAAGGUAAAGUCUACCAAUUAUGUUUUGAGUGGAGCCAAAGUGAAAUAUGAAGUGUUUAAUAGUUGAAGCCAGAGCAGGACCUGUUUCCAAGCAUGGAUAAGAACCUGUUGUAAGAAAACAAAUACGACCCUCUGAUCUGACAGCAGGGUUUUCCUUUGGGUAGUUUAUGGUCUCCUGCUACCUUCUACCACCUAAGAAAACCUAGGGAAUUAAGUCAUCAGAUUCACACUCCUCCUUAUGCCCUCAUGCUAGUAUAUACUGUUUUUUUUUAUUUUCAACAGUAUCUCACAAGAUCAAAGCUGUUUUCUUUCUGAUACCCCAUAAGGGAUGUUGCUGCUAAUGCAGCUGUGUGUCCCCAGACAAGACUAGUGCCUUUACUGCCUGAAUGGUCUUUUGCUGCAUCCCCAAAGGACUCCUAGGAACACACUCAACAAGGGACAAAGUCUGAGAACAGUUUCGUCUGCAUGGUGAACAGUGCAGGAGGUGCCCACCAAGCCCUAACACAGUGGACUGAAGAUGGCCACACAGGUCUCAUUGAUGGAAGAGUGUCCUGCUGAUUGGUAGGGAAGUAGCACCGGAGACAGAGGGGGCAUCAGCAGCCAGGUGGACUGGGAGCAAGAAGAGAAGGAAAACAUGUUCUCAUCUCAGGAACACCCAGAACCUUACCAUGACCCUUUGUUGUGCAAGAAGAUUACAAGAGGCAACUUGGGGAACUUCCUCACUGGGGCAAAGUUCCUCUCUCUCCAGCAGACGUCAAGUGAACAGGGCAUUUUGUGUCGGAGUGAAUAUAAACCAUUGAGGAUAUCCACAGAGAUCUGGGUUUAAGAUCUGCUUUGGCAGAAGUGUCAUCAAGAGUAUCAUAUGCUGGAAUCUGGACACAAAUUGUAUGGUUUAAACAACUUGGAAUACACAGACUAUUUUUUUUAUCUACAGUAAACUUUUUGUGUUUGAA
rnacentral:lncRNA from 1 species